UACGAACUGUGCGAACGUUAUUCGGAAUCACUGGGCUUAAAGGGUGCGUAGGCGGCUGCCUAAGUCAGGUGUGAAAUCUCCCGGCUCAACCGGGAAACUGCGCUUGAUACUGGGCGGCUCGAGUGAGGUAGGGGUGUGUGGAACUUCCGGUGGAGCGGUGAAAUGUGUAGAUAUCGGAAGGAACGCCAGCAGCGAAAGCGGCACACUGGGCCUUUUCUGACGCUGAGGCAC
rnacentral:rRNA from 1 species